rnacentral:rRNA from 1 species
GACGAACGCUGGCGGCGUGCUUAACACAUGCAAGUCGAGCGGAAAGGCUCCUUCGGGGGUACUCGAGCGGCGAACGGGUGAGUAACACGUGAGUAAUCUGCCCUCCACUUCGGGAUAGCCACCGGAAACGGUGAUUAAUACCGGAUAUGACUGCUUCUCGCAUGGGAUGGUGGUGGAAAGUUGUUAGGUGGGGGAUGUGCUCGCGGCCUAUCAGCUUGUUGGUGGGGUAUUGGCCUACCACGACUUUGACGGAUAGCCGACCUGAGAGGGUGACCGGUCACACUGGGACUGAGACACGGCCCAGACUCCUACGGGAUGCAGCAGUGGGGAAUAUUGGACAAUGGGCGGAAGCCUGAUCCAGCAACGCCGCGUGAGGGAUGACUGCCUUCGGGUUGUAAACCUCUUUCACCUAUGACGAAGCGAAAUUGACGGUAGUAGGAGAAGAAGCACCGGCCAACUACGUGCCAGCAGCCGCCGUAAAAC